GUUCGCGUGCACUGCAGGUACAGAUUCUUCGGUUUGUACGUCGGUUGGUUAUUUUAUGCUAAAACCUGUUUAUUUCGUUUCGAUAUCUCGCGUUAUUUAACUUGGGGUGUAAGCCCGAAAGCUAGGUUUCAGUCGUGAGUCAUGUGGAACAAGUCUGCAUGGAAAUGGGAGCCGGGUCCUGCUGCAACUGGGGACAGCAAUACCGACAUGCAGUAAUGAAGGCGGACCCAGUAUAAAGCAACACACUCCACGCACUAAACAAAAGCUGCUGCCUGCUACAAGGCCAUUGUGUGGACUUUGGCUGCUACUACAAGAGUCUAUGCCAAGCACAUCUUGGUCAUCACAAAAGCUCCCAUCUACACCAACAGGAAGGGUUGCAAGGCUUUUACACAAUGAACAAAGAAGCACAAACAAGAAUUUGGAUAUCAAGUCUCUAGAGGACUGUGUCAAAACUGAAAAGACCUUCAGCCACCAAUCCACCAGCACAGACAUUUGGCCGAGUCAUCCAGGUAACUCAAAAAGGACUUUCUAGAAAUUCUUCGUGAUCCGAUGCACCUGCAACUUCUGACCAAGCACCGACGACACUGGCCAGAAAAGUUCCGUCAGUUUGUCCAUUUGUCAACUCCAUUUGUGCCAAGUGUAAUUUCCUUUCUAUACGUGCAAGAUUUUUCAUUGCCCAUUGUAACAGUCACUGUCUGGUAGCAUACCAUCUCUGUAGCAGUAUCUUCUAGAGUAUGUUGUCAUGCACAAUUCCUCUCCUGAAACAGCUGAUGCAGCAUUGGCAUGCGUCUUGCAUUAACCCACGCACCAUGUGCUAUGCACCAUUUUACUUUUCUUGAUGUUUUUAGCCUUCAAUGCUUGCAGAGCAGAGUGGCUUCUUUCUUGAAUGCAAGCUUUCUCAUUUUCCAUAUUCCUUGUCUCGUUGAUGAUUGCUAUUCUUCCUCCAUAGCCUGGGUCUUUGUGCAAGCGACACUGAAGUGAUUGAUUGCAGAAGCUGGUCUUGCUGCCCCACGUGGUGGUGGUUGCAGUGUUACGUUUCUCUUAUCUGGGUGUGAGGCAUGCGUGCAUCUGUGUGUGAGGCAUUGAGGCAUGCUGUAUAGCCGGCAGGGCAAGCAUAGCGCGUACCAGUGUACGCAACCAGCAAAAUGUGGCCAUAUUGGAUUUUGCUCUAAAAAAAAGUGCUCUUCCGCUAGAUGGGUGGAUGGAUGUUAUGAGCGUCCCCUUUGGAACAGGGCGGCAACUGACCAGGGCCGCAACUGACCAAUCUGCCUGGUCAGUUGCGUUGGUAAGCAUCUGCUCCUGCAGUCCGCACAGCAACAUAGACUCCCAGCAUACAUGCACUGUAACUGGUGCUCUCCGUUUGUUCUUUCCUGCUGCAGCCAUGGGCAAAUUGUGGUUGUGGCCUACCUCGGCCAUGAUUAGCUCAUAACGGAGACCAGUAUAUGUGCUUACAUGGUUCCAAGUAUAUGAAGUUGAUAGCCGCAUGGGUAAAAAGGCCCGUAAAAUUGACUGUCGAAGGUGAUGCCCAUGGAACCGAUUUGUCCAUAUUGAGACAAAGUGGGGCACCAAGUGCGAGGCACAUGUUAGUGGCCCCCCAAAAGGAAACAAACGUGCAGGUUGGAAAGGAGUUAAUGCUAAAAUACCGGGUGUCCAUGUCGCUGUGUUGGUUGCGGCAGCAGAUGCCUGCAUCACGUGAUGGCUUCACAAUGCAACGGCAACUGUCGGUUCAAACAGGUGCGACACUCUGUCCAAUCUGUUUGUGCUGCUGGUGGUUGCUCGUUACCAGACCACCACAUGCGACGAAGGCAAGCAUUCUGCCUGUAGCUAGGUGGCUGAACGUACCGUAAGAGACCCGUGUACGCGAAUGCUCACUGUUGCCAUACGAUUCGUAGCCAAUGUAUAAUGUAGUGCCUGAAUCCUAUGCAGUGAUUGAUCGCUGUUUAAUUUCGCUGUUAUCUCACUUGGUUAUGGUCGCCGUGUUAUGCUUCUCGAAUGUGGUGGCCCGGUCAGUUGCAUUGGGAAGCAGUCUCUCAAAGUAUGCAUUCGCUCCAGCAGCCUGCACAGCGACAUAGACUCCCAAUUUUCAUGCACCCCAAUUUGUGCUCCCUGUUCGCCCUUUCCUGCUGCAGCCAUGGGCAAAUUGUGCCUCUUGCCUUUCUCGGCCGCGAUUAGGCAUGAACAGACAUCAACAUACGUGCUUACAUAGUCCGAUGCGUAUGAAGUUGACAGCAACAUGGCUGGAAAGGCUCGCAAAUGUAGCUGAAGGCGAUGCCCACGAAAGCGACUUGUCUUUAUUGACACAAUGUGAGACACCAAGUGUGAGCUACACAUUAGCGGCCCCCGAAAGAAAAGAAACGUGCAGGUUGGAAAAGAGUGAAUGGCUAAAAUUUGGGGUAGUCCAUGUCACCGUGUACGCUGCGGCAGCAGAUGCCUACGUCACCAGAUUGCUUCGCAAUGGAAGUUGCUCAUUUUUAGCAGCAACUGUCGCUGCGAACAGGUGGGACACUCUGUCCAAUCUGCAACUCGACAUGCAAAUUUUAUUUCUGCUAUUGCACGAGAAUGUACACUGCUUGUCUUCUGCCAAUAAAGUCGCACGUUCUGUUGA